CAGUUCACAUUAGAUGCUUUGUGGCAUUUCGACCCGCUAAUUCAUGAGAAUCAUCCCUUCCUGCUGRUGCACUGUUCCAUAAAUUCUGAAGCCUCCAUCGACAGUCUGUCAGCGACUCUCCGUGGGGGCCUUCGAAUCUCCAGCAGAGCUCAAGUAAAAAAAAAAAGUCUGUUUAAGUCUCAUCCAGCCUUUGGCAAGAAAACUUCAGUUUCAAGGUUCAGUGAGGACAUUUUCCACUGCUGUAAAAUUAAAAAAAUAAAUAAGAAAUGAUAAUGAUCAGUCUAAUUGGAUGACUCAAGGCUAGCAGCAUAUUGUAAAUCAUGCUUCAUGAGAGCUGCUGCUUUAAACUCACUCAAAUUUAUAUUAAAACUGAAGAUUUGUMUGGAAACACUAUAGCAGACAUGUGYUGAACAAUACAUUUCACUGUGUCACUGUUUGGUUAAUAAAACCUGAGGCAGCAGCAGUGAGCCWGAAGCUAAAUCUUCCCCUCCGUGUAAUCAGGAUGGUAGGGAGCAGCAGGUGGUGUUCAUUAGAGCAACAAUUGUUGCUGCCCAUCAAUCUGACAGAGGGUUCCCAGCUUAUUACCAGGAUUAUUUCACAGCAGAACAGAAGACGUGGACGUCAGUGCAGACGAGGUCAGACUGAAGAAGUUCAAGUGAAAAUAUUAAGGUAAAAACCAGAGUUUUUUGCAGUCUAACUACUGCAACAACAGCAUGGCAAUGCUUAGAAACAUCUGGAAUUCCACUUCCCAUCCAGCGACCAUCCUUUCUAAAAUCUGCACAUUUAGAUAACAGAAAUGGAGAGAAAAGAAACUGAAGACCCUGCAGUCCAGAACCUGAAGGACAGGAUCAUCUGAUGCAUCAUCACAUGUUAUUACUCACAUUACAGCCUCAGGUGCUCAUCUGUUGAAGACAGCGUGUUCUGCUGCAGCGAUCAGGAGAACAGUUUACUCUGAGCAGGGAAUGGCACUGAUCACAGCACCUGACGUUCGAACUGAAAGUCCUACAUCAACAUCUCGGCCACUUAAUGUCACCUGGGGA